rnacentral:rRNA from 1 species
GGGAUAGCCCCAGGGAAACCUGGAUUAAUACCGGAUGAGACGGGACCCGCGAUGGCGGGACCCGGAAAGGCGCUGCGGCGCCGCCGGGGGAUGAGUCUGCGUCCCAUUAGCUAGACGGCGGGGUAACGGCCCACCGUGGCGACGAUGGGGUAGCCGGCCUGAGAGGGUGGACGGCCACAUUGGAACUGAGACACGGUCCAGACUCCUACGGGAGGCAGCAGCUAAGAAUCUUCCGCAAUGGGUCGAAAGCCUGACGGAGCGACGCCGCCGUGAACGAAGAAGGCCGUGAGGUUGUAAAGUUCUUUCGGGAGGGGAACAACCGUGGCAGGGAAUGGCCGCGGGAUGACGUGAAUCCCGGAAUAAGCCCCGGCUAACUACGUGCCAGCAGCUGC